rnacentral:rRNA from 1 species
UACGUAGGUGGCAAGCGUUGUCCGGAUUUAUUGGGUUUAAAGGGUGCGUAGGCGGCCUAUUAAGUCAGUUCUGAAAUAUCCCGGCUUAACCGGGAGGGUGGGAUUGAUACUGAUGGGCUUGAGUGGAAUCGAGGUAGGCGGAAUUGACGGUGUAGCGGUGAAAUGCUUAGAUAUCGUCAAGAACACCGAUAGUGUAGACAGCUUACUAGGCUUCAACUGACGCUGAGGCACGAAAGUGUGGGGAUCAAACAGG